rnacentral:rRNA from 1 species
GACGAACGCUGGCGGCGUGCUUAACACAUGCAAGUCGAACGGAAAGGCCCUGCUUUUGUGGGGUGCUCGAGUGGCGAACGGGUGAGUAACACGUGAGUAACCUGCCCUUGACUUUGGGAUAACUUCAGGAAACUGGGGCUAAUACCGGAUAGGAGCUCCUGCUGCAUGGUGGGGGUUGGAAAGUUUCGGCGGUUGGGGAUGGGCUCGCGGCUUAUCAGCUUGUUGGUGGGGUAGUGGCUUACCAAGGCUUUGACGGGUAGCCGGCCUGAGAGGGUGACCGGCCACAUUGGGACUGAGAUACGGCCCAGACUCCUACGGGAGGCAGCAGUGGGGAAGAUUGCACAAUGGGCGGAAGCCUGAUGCAGCAACGCCGCGUGCGGGAUGACGGCCUUCGGGUUGUAAACCGCUUUCGCCUGUGACGAAGCGUGAGUGACGGUAAUGGGUAAAGAAGCACCGGCUAACUACGUG